GUCCCAUACCCAUCUCUGUAACGUUUAUUGUGAAACUCACUGCACUAAUUAAAUGGACAUGUUUGAGAGAUUGUAUAAGCAACUUAGCUAAAACGCAAAUCCACAUAUCCUCAAAAUAAACUUGUUCAGUAAAAGCUUCAAUCAAAUCACCAAAACUCAUCCUCAGAGCAAUCUCUAUAUAUGUUCCAUCUCAAACAAAUCACAGAACUCCUUCUUUUUAUUUUACCAAAUUUAUAUAUAAAUUUGUGGGAUCAUUGGUUUCUUAAAACCCCUUACCAAGAAAAGAUGACUGAAAUAAGUGUUGAAAGCACUCACAAAAGUUAGUUCACUCGUUUAAGAAUUUAGAAGAUUACAUUUCUUACUAAUAAAAGAAGUUCAUUGAGGCUUCUCAGGCUAGCCACAUCAGCUUUCUAAUCUUUUCCAUUAAGCUGCCACAUCAGCCUAAUUUUGCUCGCAAUGUUUCUAAACCCAGCCACAUUAGCCUAAUUUAUUACUAAUAAUCAAGGCUUUGGGCCUCUUAAUAAUGUAAUCAACGUUUUGGUUUCCCUCUUAGAUAAUAUACAUCUCAUACCUCUCUAAGGGUUUUACGUUCCAAUUCAUCUCCCCCAAAUCGACUCUCUAAUAGUCGCCUCUCCUUCAAAAAUACGAUCACCUUCCCGUUCAUCGUUCACUUCAUCCUAAUAUUUCUAAACUCUGCAUUUAAUAAUGAUAGACUGACAAAGGUGAGACAAAUUGUUCUUUACGUCUUAUUAUUAAAUCGAGAUAUAUAGCAUGACUCAUGUUAUCUCUGUAUAAGGCCUUUUAACAAAAAAAAAAAUGUGAUUUCUGUAUAUGCAUGAAAUAUGGCCACAACUCUCUAACUUCUUCACUUAAGGUAUAUGUCUUCUUUUCGCCCGUCUAAAUAUUUCUGUGGUUCAUGGUUGGGAAUUGACGUUGCAA